AGGCACUCUGCCCUCGGGACCUAAGAGCCUCAAGGUUAAGUGCCAAGCCUUCCCUCACGAUGGUUCAACAGGACUGAAGUGGCCCGCUCCAGCCAGCCCGCCUGUCACAGAUAACCAUCAUGGGGCUGGAGCCAAGGGUGCACCUGGAUGUGGCAGGGAUCAUCAAACAUCUGCAGUCUCUCAGAAACAUCAGAAGAUGGAUUAAGGAGAUCAAAGAGCUCUUCAUUAUAGAUUUCCAAUAGUGACACUUUCACUGACAAUUCAGUACCAUUAUCAGUAAGUUUCUCAAAAAUCUGAUGAAGAGUACGCGGAAUUAUACCAGCCAAAAGAUCCUCCUCUCAAGUAUACUCUUCAUUAGGGGUCCUUUCACCUUCCAUUGUAAAGGUUUUUCCACUGCCGGUUUGGCCAUAUGCAAAAAUAGCGCAAUUAUAGCCCAUAAUAACUUCAUCCAGAAUUGGACAAACAACACUUCGGUAAACGUCAAUUUGUUUAGUAUUUGCUCCAAAAACCAUAUCAAAAGUGUAUGUUUUCCUUGAGCUUUCCUCCGCCAGUCCUCAGUUUGAACACUAACUUCCUUCCGCACAUGAUCACAUUCCACUACUGAAUGGGCAUUAGCGUUCUGCUCUGCCAGAUUAAAUGGUCUGCAUCUCACCACCACCUGGACGCUCCUCCCCGCUUCAUCCCUUUCCCCCACAGAUGAAUUCGGCUGAGACGCCACGACCGUCCCCCAAGAAGGCCAGGCCAUGGACCUGGGUGCCGUCGAGCGCACAGCGGCCCGGUGGCUGGCGCGGACCAGGGCGCCCAUGGAAAUCGCCAUUGCCCAGGAACCGUGACUGACCGGGGCGCCUGCCGGGCACCAGCCUGAGCCCUCCAGCCGCAAACCCAGUCGCCGCCCCAAGUCCAGGAAACCGAGCAACCACUCGGCGCCUCACUCUCAAAAAGGAGCCAACUGGCCGGGCAAACGGCAG
ensembl:lncRNA